rnacentral:rRNA from 1 species
UACAGUGGCGUACGGGUGAGUAACACGUGGGUAAUCUACCCUUUAGUGGGGGAUAACGCUGGGAAACCGGCGCUAAUACCACAUAAUCCCGAGAGGGGAAAGCAGCAAUGCGCUGAAGGAGGAGCCCGCGGCCGAUUAGCUAGUUGGGAGGGUAAAAGCCUACCAAGGCGACGAUCCUUAGCUGGUCUGAGAGGAUGAUCAGCCACACUGGGACUGAGACACGGCCCAG